UUGAAGCCUUGGUGACUGAGCGGCGGACGGGUGAGUAACGCGUGGGUAACCUGCCUCAUACAGGGGGAUAACAGUUGGAAACGAUAGCUAAUACCGCAUAAGAUUACAGUACCGCAUGAUACAGUGAUCAAAGGAGCAAUCCGCUGAAAGAUGGGCUCGCGUCCGAUUAGAUAGUUGGUGAGGUAACGGCUCACCAAGUCGACGAUCGGUAGCCGGACUGAGAGGUUGAACGGCCACAUUGGGACUGAGACACGGCCCAGACUCC
rnacentral:rRNA from 1 species